UACGAAGGACCCGAGCGUUAUCCGGAUUUAUUGGGCUUAAAGGGUGCGUAGGCGGUUUUACAAGUCAGUGGUGAAAUCUCCCAGCUUAACUGGGAAACUGCCAUUGAAACUGUUUAUCUUGAGUACAUUUGAGGCGGGCGGAAUGUGUCAUGUAGAGGUGAAAUUCUUAGAUAUGACACAGAACACCAAUUGCGAAGGCAGCUCGCUAAACUGUAACUGACGCUGAGGCACGAAAGCGUGGGGAUCAAACAGG
rnacentral:rRNA from 1 species